ACCCCUGUGAGAAUGCCCUACAGUUCCCUGCUUGGGAACAAGGAGCUGGUAUCAGGCACAAUAUACUUCCAAGCCCAUGACACCUUGCUUAGCCACACCCUCAAGGGAACUCAGCAGUGAUAAACAUUAAGCCAUAAGUGAAAACUUGACUUAGUCAAAGCUAAGAGGGUCGGUAAAACUCGUGCCAGCCACCGCGGUUAUACGAGAGACCCAAGUUGUUAGACACCGGCGUAAAGAGUGGUUAAGACCUGCCCUAUAAUACUAAAGCCGAACGCCCUCAGAGCUGUUAUACGCAUCCGAAGGUAAGAAGCCCAAUCACGAAAGUGGCUUUAUAAUGUCUGAACCCACGAAAGCUAUGAUACAAACUGGGAUUAGAUACCCCACUAUGCCUAGCCAUAAACAUUGAUAGCGUACUACAUCUGCUAUCCGCCCGGGGACUACGAGCAUCAGCUUGAAACCCAAAGGACUUGGCGGUGCUUUAGAUCCACCUAGAGGAGCCUGUUCUAGAACCGAUUACCCCCGUUCAACCUCACCUUUCCUUGUUUUCUCCGCCUAUAUACCACCGUCGUCAGCUUACCCUGUGAAGGACCAAUAGUAAGCAAGAUUGGCAUCGCCCAAAACGUCAGGUCGAGGUGUAGCGUAUGGAAAGGGAAGAAAUGGGCUACAUUCCCUAAUACAGUGAAUUACGAACGAUAUAUUGAAAUAUAUACCUGAAGGAGGAUUUAGCAGUAAGCAGAAAAUAGAGCGUUCCGCUGAAACCGGCCCUGAAGCGCGCACACACCGCCCGUCACUCUCCCCAAGCUCAUAACUUCAAAUACCUAAAGCCUUAAAACUGCAAAGGGGAGGCAAGUCGUAACAUGGUAAGUGUACCGGAAGGUGCACUUGGAAAAAU
rnacentral:ncRNA from 1 species